CCCAUGACCGCAACCAAAUAUCUCUCUCUCUCUCAAAUGAAAUCCCUAAAAUCACCUCCAAAAUUUUCUGAUCCCUAAAAUCGCCGUGGCCAAGAUCUCGUCGCCGUUUUCUGAUCGGAUCCAUCUCUUAGCUCCUCUCCGAUCUCCAAUCUCAUUGGUUUCGUCGCCGAGCUACUCCCUGUUUUCUAGGGUUUGCCGUUCUCUUAAAUCUCCUCUCCGAUCUCAUCUUCGAUCUUGUUGCCAUUCUCGUCGUCGAGCUACUAAUCUCGUCGUCAUGCUACUCUCGUUGCCAUUCCAGUCUUGUUUGUCAUCGUCAAGCUACUAAUCUCGUCGUCAAGGUGUUCUCAUUGUGCUUGGGUUGGGAACUGCGUUUUGGCUUGCAUUGGAGUGGUGCAAAGACUGGGGAUCUCGAAGACACGUGCACGGCACAGACAUCCCUAUGAAAACUCUUGGAAUGUAGCUUGUUCAUUCUUUUCAUUUAUUACUAGUUAAUCACUUCUCUUUGAGUGAUGGAAACAGUUGGUGAUUCUAGAUCAAGUUCAAAAGAGAAGAGAUCAUUUGAGAUGGAUUGAAUACUCUCUGCAUGCUAGAAGUCUUCAAAACAGUGGUGCUCCACACUCAACAAGCUAGCUCAAGUUAUUU